AUUCCAGCUCCAAUAGCGUAUAUUAAUGUUGUUGCAGUUAAAACGCUCGUAGUCGGAUUUCGGGGCGGGGCAUCCGGUCUGCCGUUGGGUAUGCACUGGAUGCCGCGUCCUUCCUUCCGGAGACCGUUCCUACUCUUAACUGAGCGGGGUCGGGAGACGGAUCUUUUACUUUGAAAAAAUCAGAGUGUUUCAAGCAGGCAUAUCGCUUUUGCAUGGAUUAGCAUGGGAUAAUGAAAUAGGACUUUGGUGCUAUUUUGUUGGUUUCGAACACCGAAGUAAUGAUUAACAGGGACAGUCAGGGGCACUAAUAUUCCGUUGAGAGAGGUGAAAUUCUUAGACCAGCGGAAGAUUAACCACUGCGAAAGCAUUUGCCAGGGAUGUUUUCAUUA
rnacentral:rRNA from 1 species